AUAUAAGAAAUGAUAUAAUCAUAUAUGAUUUCGGCUCAUAGUUAGGUGUUAUCUCACCCUUAUAUU
rnacentral:tRNA from 1 species